rnacentral:rRNA from 1 species
UACGAAGGGGGCUAGCGUUGCUCGGAAUCACUGGGCGUAAAACGCACGUAGGCGGCUUUCUAAGUCAGAGGUGAAAUCCUGGAGCUCAACUCCAGAACUGCCUUUGAUACUGGAGAGCUUGAGUUCGGGAGAGGUGAGUGGAACUGCGAGUGUAGAGGUGAAAUUCGUAGAUAUUCGCAAGAACACCAGUGGCGAAGGCGGCUCACUGGCCCGGUACUGACGCUGAGGCACGAAAGCGUGGGGAGCAAACAGG